GCGCCCGUAGUUCAACGGAUAGAACACCGGUCUUCGGAACCGGCCAUGGGAGUUCGACUCUCUCCGGGCGCA
rnacentral:tRNA from 1 species